rnacentral:lncRNA from 1 species
AUGUCGUUGCUCCUCAAUUUAUGACCGACAAUUAUGUUCGUGUGACUCAGCUUAACUGGGAUGGGGUGGGUACGCAAUAAAAAGAUUACAUCUAAGUGAGAGAAAUUUAGCAAUUCUUGUGGUUCUGAGAUAAGUUUGAAGAAAUCACAACAUCUUGAGUUGAUAGAAGAUAUUGUGGAUUUGGCAAAGAAAGUUGCUGUAAGUGGUAGAAAAAUUAUUCCUUAUUGGAGCCUAUUGAGAACUGGUUAUAAAAUAGAAAAUAAAAUACUGGCAACGGAACCAGCUUUGAACUGGGUAAAUACACAGGCAAUAUUAACAAUUCUAACUAAAUUAGGACAAGCUGACAAUUGUUGGCUUAUGUUAAGUAUUUUCUUUACUGAAUAUAAGUACAAUAUAACUAAAGUUCUAACAGAAAACUGCAAUUUGCUUGAAGAAUUUAAAACCCAAGGUUAUACAGACUGCAUAGAGCAUGAACAACUAAUAAAAAUAAAAGGAAAUAAAGAGUUUUGCAAAGAAAGACUUGAUACAGCUCUAUUACACCAGAGCCACUGAAUAGAG